CCUUAGUGUCUUGAGUUGGAACAUUAUCCAGGGUAGUGGCAAAGCAAACCAUCUAGAAAGGGAGAGGCUGGAAGUGUGGCUGUCUGACCACACAGAAAGCUGUAACAUUUUGUUACAAAUGGUGUUCUUGGCAUGCAUAGAGACUUUGUAAGAUUUAAUUUGAAAAAAAAAAGAUUAUCUUCACACGUCUCAGGAACUUGAUCAGGAAAAGAAAGAAGGUAUAAUAGGAAGAAUACUGAAUUAGAAGCAGAGUCUUGGCUUGUUGGCGUCCACUCCUGCUUCCUUUCUACUACUCACUCUGGGCCUCAGCUUCCUUAUCUGUGAGAGAAGAAGAUUGGAUCAGGAAAGUGAAAAGUGAAAGUGAAGUCGCUCAGUCAUGUCUGACUCUUCACGACCCCAUGGAUUGCAGCCUACCAAGCUCCUCCGUCCAUGGGAUUUUCCAGCUUCCCUGGUUGCUCAGCUGGUAAAGAAUCUGCUUGCAGUGCAGGAGACCCUGGUUUGAUUCCUGGGUUGGGAAGAUCCCCUGGAGAAGAGAUAUGCUACCCACUCUGGUAUUCUUGGGCUUCCCUUGUGGUUCAGCUGGUAAAAGAAUCCACCUGCAAUGUGGGAGACCUGGGUUUAAUCCCUGGGUUGGGAAGAUCCUCUGGAGAAGGGAAAGGUUACCCACUCCAGGAUACAGUCCAAGGAGUCACAAGGAAUC
ensembl:lncRNA